rnacentral:rRNA from 1 species
UCCUACGGGGGGCAGCAGUAGGGAAUUUUCGUCAAUGGGCGCGAGCCUGAACGAGCAAUGCCGCGUGAACGAGGAAGAUCUUCGGAUCGUAAAGUUCUGUUGAAGGGGAAAAAGAGCGGAGAGAGGAAAUGGUCUCCGAUUGAUAUUACCCUUCGAGGAAGUCACGGCUAACUACGUGCCAGCAGCCGCGGUAAUACGUAGGUGGCGAGCGUUAUCCGGAAUGAUUGGGCGUAAAGGGUGCGUAGGCGGCCUGCUAAGUCUGGAGUGAAAGGUACCGGCUCAACCGGUACAGGCUCUGGAAACUG